rnacentral:rRNA from 1 species
UACGAAGGGACCUAGCGUAGUUCGGAAUUACUGGGCUUAAAGAGUUCGUAGGUGGUUGAAAAAGUUAGUGGUGAAAUCCCAGAGCUUAACUCUGGAACUGCCAUUAAAACUUUUCAGCUAGAGUAUGAUAGAGGAAAGCAGAAUUUCUAGUGUAGAGGUGAAAUUCGUAGAUAUUAGAAAGAAUACCAAUUGCGAAGGCAGCUUUCUGGAUCAUUACUGACACUGAGGAACGAAAGCAUGGGUAGCGAAGAGGAUUAGAUACCCUCGUAGUCCAUGCCGUAAACGAUGUGUGUUAGACGUUGGAAAUUUAUUUUCAGUGUCGCAGCGAAAGCGAUAAACACACCGCCUGGGGAGUACGACCGCAAGGUUAAAACUCAAAUGAAUUGACGGGGACCCGCACAAGUAGUGGAGCAUGUGGUUUAAUUCGAAGAUACGCGCAGAACCUUACCAACACUUGACAUGUUCGUCGCGACUCUAAGAGAUUAGAGUUUUCGGUUCGGCCGGACGAAACACAGGUGCUGCAUGGCUGUCGUCAGCUCGUGUCGUGAGAUGUUGGGUUAAGUCCCGCAACGAGCGCAACCCUCACUUUUAGUUGCCAUCAUUAAGUUGGGCACUCUGAAAGGACUGCCAGUGAUAAGCUGGAGGAAGGUGGGGAUGACGUCAAGUCCUCAUGGCCCUUACGUGUUGGGCUACACACGUGCUACAAUGGUAUCUACAACAGGAAGCAAGACUGCGAGGUCAAGCAAAUCCUUAAAAGAUACCUCAGUUCGGAUUGCACUCUGCAACUCGAGUGCAUGAAGCUGGAAUUACUAGUAAUCGUGGAUCAGCGUGCCACGGUGAGUGCGUUCCCGGGUCU